ensembl:misc_RNA Metazoa_SRP Metazoan signal recognition particle RNA
GCCGGGCAUGGUGUUGCAUGCCUGUAAUCCCAGCUACUCGGGAGGCUGAGGCAGGAGAAUCACCUGCACCCAGGAGACAGGGGUUACAGUGAGCCGAGAUCGUGCCACUGCACUCCAGCCUGGGUAACAGAGUGAGACUCUGUCUCAA